CGUCAGCUCGUGUCGUGAGAUUGUUCGGGUUAAGUCCCGCAACGAGCCGCAACCCCUAUCUUUGGUUGCCAUCAUUGAGUUGGGCACUCUAAAGAGAUUGCCGGUGUCAAACCGGAGGAAGUGGGGAUGACGUCAAGUCCUCAUGGCCCUUAUGACCAGGGCUACACACGUGCUACAAUGGUUGGUACAACGAGUUGCGAGUCGGUGACGGCGAGCUAAUCUCUUAAAGCCAAUCUCAGUUCGGAUUGUAGGCUGCAACUCGCCUACAUGAAGUCGGAAUCGCUAGUAAUCGCGGAUCAGCACGCCGCGGUGAAUACGUUCCCGGGCCUU
rnacentral:rRNA from 1 species